AGCGUACACGGUGGAUGCCCUGGCAGUCAGAGGCGAUGAAGGACGUGCUAAUCUGCGAUAAGCGUCGGUAAGGUGAUAUGAACCGUUAUAACCGGCGAUUUCCGAAUGGGGAAACCCAGUGUGUUUCGACACACUAUCAUUAACUGAAUCCAUAGGUUAAUGAGGCGAACCGGGGGAACUGAAACAUCUAAGUACCCCGAGGAAAAGAAAUCAACCGAGAUUCCCCCAGUAGCGGCGAGCGAACGGGGAGCAGCCCAGAGCCUGAAUCAGUGUGUGUGUUAGUGGAAGCGUCUGGAAAGGCGCGCGAUACAGGGUGACAGCCCCGUACACAAAAAUGCACAUACUGUGAGCUCGAUGAGUAGGGCGGGACACGUGGUAUCCUGUCUGAAUAUGGGGGGACCAUCCUCCAAGGCUAAAUACUCCUGACUGACCGAUAGUGAACCAGUACCGUGAGGGAAAGGCGAAAAGAACCCCGGCGAGGGGAGUGAAAAAGAACCUGAAACCGUGUACGUACAAGCAGUGGGAGCACGCUUAGGCGUGUGACUGCGUACCUUUUGUAUAAUGGGUCAGCGACUUAUAUUCUGUAGCAAGGUUAACCGAAUAGGGGAGCCGAAGGGAAACCGAGUCUUAACUGGGCGUUAAGUUGCAGGGUAUAGACCCGAAACCCGGUGAUCUAGCCAUGGGCAGGUUGAAGGUUGGGUAACACUAACUGGAGGACCGAACCGACUAAUGUUGAAAAAUUAGCGGAUGACUUGUGGCUGGGGGUGAAAGGCCAAUCAAACCGGGAGAUAGCUGGUUCUCCCCGAAAGCUAUUUAGGUAGCGCCUCGUGAAUUCAUCUCCGGGGGUAGAGCACUGUUUCGGCAAGGGGGUCAUCCCGACUUACCAACCCGAUGCAAACUGCGAAUACCGGAGAAUGUUAUCACGGGAGACACACGGCGGGUGCUAACGUCCGUCGUGAAGAGGGAAACAACCCAGACCGCCAGCUAAGGUCCCAAAGUCAUGGUUAAGUGGGAAACGAUGUGGGAAGGCCCAGACAGCCAGGAUGUUGGCUUAGAAGCAGCCAUCAUUUAAAGAAAGCGUAAUAGCUCACUGGUCGAGUCGGCCUGCGCGGAAGAUGUAACGGGGCUAAACCAUGCACCGAAGCUGCGGCAGCGACGCUUAUGCGUUGUUGGGUAGGGGAGCGUUCUGUAAGCCUGCGAAGGUGUGCUGUGAGGCAUGCUGGAGGUAUCAGAAGUGCGAAUGCUGACAUAAGUAACGAUAAAGCGGGUGAAAAGCCCGCUCGCCGGAAGACCAAGGGUUCCUGUCCAACGUUAAUCGGGGCAGGGUGAGUCGACCCCUAAGGCGAGGCCGAAAGGCGUAGUCGAUGGGAAACAGGUUAAUAUUCCUGUACUUGGUGUUACUGCGAAGGGGGGACGGAGAAGGCUAUGUUGGCCGGGCGACGGUUGUCCCGGUUUAAGCGUGUAGGCUGGUUUUCCAGGCAAAUCCGGAAAAUCAAGGCUGAGGCGUGAUGACGAGGCACUACGGUGCUGAAGCAACAAAUGCCCUGCUUCCAGGAAAAGCCUCUAAGCAUCAGGUAACAUCAAAUCGUACCCCAAACCGACACAGGUGGUCAGGUAGAGAAUACCAAGGCGCUUGAGAGAACUCGGGUGAAGGAACUAGGCAAAAUGGUGCCGUAACUUCGGGAGAAGGCACGCUGAUAUGUAGGUGAAGUCCCUCGCGGAUGGAGCUGAAAUCAGUCGAAGAUACCAGCUGGCUGCAACUGUUUAUUAAAAACACAGCACUGUGCAAACACGAAAGUGGACGUAUACGGUGUGACGCCUGCCCGGUGCCGGAAGGUUAAUUGAUGGGGUCAGCGCAAGCGAAGCUCUUGAUCGAAGCCCCGGUAAACGGCGGCCGUAACUAUAACGGUCCUAAGGUAGCGAAAUUCCUUGUCGGGUAAGUUCCGACCUGCACGAAUGGCGUAAUGAUGGCCAGGCUGUCUCCACCCGAGACUCAGUGAAAUUGAACUCGCUGUGAAGAUGCAGUGUACCCGCGGCAAGACGGAAAGACCCCGUGAACCUUUACUAUAGCUUGACACUGAACAUUGAGCCUUGAUGUGUAGGAUAGGUGGGAGGCUUUGAAGUGUGGACGCCAGUCUGCAUGGAGCCGGCCUUGAAAUACCACCCUUUAAUGUUUGAUGUUCUAACGUUGACCCGUAAUCCGGGUUGCGGACAGUGUCUGGUGGGUAGUUUGACUGGGGCGGUCUCCUCCUAAAGAGUAACGGAGGAGCACGAAGGUUGGCUAAUCCUGGUCGGACAUCAGGAGGUUAGUGCAAUGGCAUAAGCCAGCUUGACUGCGAGCGUGACGGCGCGAGCAGGUGCGAAAGCAGGUCAUAGUGAUCCGGUGGUUCUGAAUGGAAGGGCCAUCGCUCAACGGAUAAAAGGUACUCCGGGGAUAACAGGCUGAUACCGCCCAAGAGUUCAUAUCGACGGCGGUGUUUGGCACCUCGAUGUCGGCUCAUCACAUCCUGGGGCUGAAGUAGGUCCCAAGGGUAUGGCUGUUCGCCAUUUAAAGUGGUACGCGAGCUGGGUUUAGAACGUCGUGAGACAGUUCGGUCCCUAUCUGCCGUGGGCGCUGGAGAACUGAGGGGGGCUGCUCCUAGUACGAGAGGACCGGAGUGGACGCAUCACUGGUGUUCGGGUUGUCAUGCCAAUGGCACUGCCCGGUAGCUAAAUGCGGAAGAGAUAAGUGCUGAAAGCAUCUAAGCACGAAACUUGCCCCGAGAUGAGUUCUCCCUGACUCCUUGA
rnacentral:rRNA from 1 species